UUUUUUUUUUUUUUUUUGAGAUGGAGCCUCACUCAGUCACCCAGGCUAGAGUGCAGUGGCGCGAUCUCAGCUCACUGCAACCUCCACCUCCCUGAUUCAAACAAUUCCCCUGUCUCACUCUCCUGAGUAGCUGGGAUUACAGGCAUACGCCACCUGGCUAUUUUUUUGUGUGUGUAUUUUUAAUAGAGACGGGGUUUCACCAUGUUGGCCAGACUGGUCUCGAACUCCUGGCCUCAGGCAAUCCACCCACCUCGGCCUCCCAAGUGCUAGGAUUACAGGCAUGAGCCAUCGCGCCCGGUGGUGGUAUCACUUUUAUAGUUAUUCUUCAUUCACCACCUGACUUGGGAAAGGCUCCUUGAAAGUGCUGGAGCACUAGACCCACAAAUAAAAAGUAAAAAGGGCCUUUCCAUUUAUUUUAAAUAGAUGCAGUGGAUUAUCAGGAUGAGUAACAUAAGAAAUAGGAGAAAAUUAAUGGCUAAUAAAAACAUGAUGGGUUUUGAUAAUGGGUACCCUCAUACAGUGCUCUGUGCACCCUCUUGCACAGAACAACUCCUUGUAUUUUGGUUUGGUUGAUGUAGACACUUUAACUAAAUAUUCCAGACCACAUAAAAAUAAAUCAACUUAGUCUCUGUUUUUUUAUAUUGCAUCACUCCAUUUUUGCCAUUCCCAAAGUGAAUACUCCUUUUGUGUAACCUCUCUUAAGUGUGUGUUUGAUUGUUUGCAAAAUAUUCAAAAUUCUAACAACUUUUUCUUUCUUAGGUAUUACUAAGUAUCACUCAAAUCAGUCCACUUCUCUCCAUUUCCUUUGCCACUAGCCCAGAGAAGGCCACCAUUGACUCUCUCUUUCAAUUUCUGUCCCCAUCCUGCCCCUAGUGAACUCCUCAUGCUGCUGCCAAUAAAACACAUUUGAUCACAUCUGUCUCCUCCUAACUCUUCUUUGGCAAGUUAAUACUGUCAGGAUGAAGUCCAAGUUAUCUAACACUACCUACUUUCUUCUCAUUUCCCUUUCUGUAAAAUAGCCAUAAUGGACUUCCAGUUACCCCAAAGACCAUGUAUUUUGCUCUGUAGGGAUUUGCGCUUGCAGCUUCCUCUGCUUGGAACACUUUUCCACAUCGUGUGUCAACCUCUUGCACAGAGCAACUCCUUAUUAUUUAUUCUUUAAGUCUAGGCCAGGUGUGGAGGCUCACACUUCAGGAGGCUUAGGUGGGAGGAUCGCUUGAGGUCAGGAGUUUAAGAUCAGCCUCAGCAACAUAUUGAGACCCUGUCUCUACAAAAUAUUAAAAAAAAAAAAAAAUCAGCCAGGUAUAGUAGUGCAUGCCUUUGGUCCUAGCUACUUAGGACGCUGAGGCAAAAGGAUCCCUCCAGGGGUUUGAGCUGCAGUGAGCUAUGACUGGAUCACUGCACUACAGUCUGGGUGAUGGAGCAAAACUCUGUAGGUAAAAAAAAAUAAUAAUGAUAAUAAUCUUCAGGACAUGAGAGAUCCUGAUAUUAAAUAGAGAAAUAAUUUCUAAAUACUAAAAGAUGCUGUUGAUUAUAGAUAAUAAUUAAAUUUAUCAUUUAUAAUUUAAUAGAUUUUAACCCUCUUGACAGUAAAGAUAAUUAUUGUGUAAAUUAAUCAAUUACUUUUGAAAUAACUAUUAUAUUGUUCUUUUCAUAAUAAAUAGUAAGUAAACAUGGUGAGGUUAAAAAUAAAAAUUUGUUGAGUAUUUACAAUUAACUAAGCCCUAUGGUAUGAGUAUUAUACAGAUUAGCAAGAUGUAGUUAAUAAUUGAACCCAGACAUGCUGCUAUCAAAAUUCACUGUUUCAAUACUAUUCUCUUAAAUGAUUAAAUAAGUCAACUAAAUUGUAGGACUCCCUGACAUCAAAAUAAACAAAUGCAUAAAUAAAUAAAGAAAUAAAGGGAAGAAAUCACCUUACCACAGAGAUUAAAAAUUCUCAUUGACAAAUGUCCGUGAGAAAUGCAACAUAUAUAUAAUAAAUAGGAACAGAGACAAAGGCUGCUUAUCAAACUGAAUGUUUAUUGCUUCUAGAAAGAAGUUUUUCAACCUGUAAAACUGUUGCUCUUGUUCUCAUAUAGGAGAAAAAUGAAACUGAAAAUUAAUAAAUAAAAUUUAAAAGGAAGGCUUAAUGAGCUUCAGGCCAGUGGUUUACCAUGCAGGGAACAAAAAUGGGCUUGGCUUGAGGAAAGCUUUUGCCACUUUUUGCAUUUUUGCUUGUCUUAUUUCUUGUGCCAACUGGCUUUAAAAAUAUUGUCUGGAAUGAUGCCUCUAUUGUCUUCUAUGAUUAUAAAUGUAGUUAAGAAAUUAAUGCUGUAUAGUGAGGAUCCCAAUUCACCCCAAGUAAAAGAGAAAACAUUCUCACAGGCUUCAAUUUCUAUCUAAGCACACAGGACUUGUUUAGCAUCAUGAAAGACCAUCAAAGAAAGAGAUAAAGUCAAAAUCCAAGACAUUUCUGGGCUCCACUUUCUUCAGGUCUCUGUCACCAGUUGCCUCUCAGCAGAUUUCAGGCACCAGAAAGUAAAGUAUACUAUGAAGCAUUUCUAUAUGCCAACAGUGAACAAUCUGAAAAAGAAAUCAAGGAAGUGAUCCCAUUUCCAAUAGCUACAAAUAAAAUGAAAUACCUAGAAAUUAACCAGAGAAUUGAAAGAGUUCUAUGAUGAAAAUUAUAAAACACUGAUAAAGGAAAUUAAAGAGGAAACAGUAAAACAGAAAGAUAUUCCAUGUUCAUGGGUGGGGAAUCAAUAUUGUUAAAAUAUUCAUACCACUUAAAGCAGUCUACAGAUUCAGUGCAAUCCCCAUCAAAAUACCAAAUACAUUCUUCAUGGAAAUAGAAAGAACAACUGUAAAGUGUAUAUGGAAUCACAAAAGACCUAGAAUAGCCAAAGUUAUCCUGGGCAAAAAGAACAAAACUGGAGGAAUCACAUUACCUGGCUUCAUAUUGUACCACAGAGGUAUAGUAACCAAAACAGCAUUGUAAUGGCAUAAAAACAGACACAUAGAUCAAUGGAACAGAAUAGAGAACCCAGAAACAAAUCCAUAUAUCUAUAUAUCUACAGUGAACUCAUUUUUCAAUAGAAGUGCCAAGAAGAUAUGUUAGGGAAAGGAUAGCCUCUUCAACAAAUGGUGCUGGGAAACUUCCAUAUGCAGAAGAAUGAAAAUAGAUCCCUAUCUCCUGCUAUAUAUGAAAAUCAAAACAGAAUCAAUUAAAGGCUUAAGUCUAAGAACCC
rnacentral:lncRNA from 1 species